CCUUGACGACGACUGGCGCACGGGUGAGUAACGCGUAUCCAACCUUCCCAUGACCACGGGAUAACCCGUUGAAAGACGGCCUAAUACCGUAUGACGUCGUUUGCCGACAUCGAAAGACGACCAAAGGUUUGGCGGUGAUGGAUGGGGAUGCGUCUGAUUAGCUUGUUGGCGGGGUAACGGCCCACCAAGGCUACGAUCAGUAGGGGUUCUGAGAGGAAGGUCCCCCACAUUGGAACUGAGACACGGUCCAAACUCCUACGGGAGGCAGCAGCA
rnacentral:rRNA from 1 species